AACUGGUCCGGGAGCAGUCAUGAGGAGACAGGUCGGGGUGAAGCGGGUGGGACCGGCGUCGGCAGGGCGGGAGAUGAGCGCCUUCCUGCCGGCCGCUGCCCCAACACAACCCAAGCUCCCCAGCGGAGGCGGCGGCAGAGGCCUUCCAAUAUGGCGGCGCUGGCUGACGUCACCAGAGGAUGUGGCAGAGCCGGCGAGGGGCGUGUCCGGGGGCGCCGGAAGCGGCUGGAUCGGGCGGGACUCUUGGUCUUCACGGCCCACCGCUCCGGGCCUGCGAGGUUCUACCAGCCUCUCAGUCCCUACGUACCCUGGCGUCCGCUCCCACACUCGAGACGUCCCGCGUCUGUCCGCCUCCCCGCUUCGCCCCUCACUACUUGGGCUGGAGCCAGAGGCCCCCAAGACCCCCUACUGGUGCGGUCCGAUCCCGGGCGCCCUAGGUGGACCCUGCUCGGCUCGUAGCUGUCCCCUUAGCACUCCAGACACUGUGGCCUUAAGAGGAAGCUCCUGUCUUUGCGUCCGGGAUCCCGCUUGGACGCCCGGAUCCCCGCGAGCUGCAGGAAGGACUUUGUUCGCUGCUGGUGAGGUGCCAGAGGUGCGCUCUCUGCCGGGACUUCCUGGCCCUUAAGAAGGAGCACCUGCAUCCAAGUGGCUCAAAGUGGACUGGUAGUGUUUUCCAGGCGUAGAGAGGUUAAACAAAUUGACCACUGACUACUGCUGGUAAACCUUUUUUCCUUCCUUGCCUUCGACUUGUCCAGUAAAGUGACCAGGGCUCGAUCCAGAACUCCUAUGUACCAGAUCAUGCCCAGGAAAGUGAGAAUGCUCAAUGACGCCACUGUGGAAGGGUGUGCACCAAGCCUACCUGACCUUUUUCCUGUCUGAGCAAAGUCAGUUUCCCCUCAGCCAGUUUCUCCCAUCCAGGUCCUUUCCAACUUUUUGUUCUUUCAUCUCUCUUCCAGUUCUUUACCAAAUAAAUUAAAGCAUGUUUCUUUGUGAAAGAAAUGUAA